rnacentral:rRNA from 1 species
UGAGGAAUAUUGCACAAUGGGGGCAACCCUGAUGCAGCGACGCCGCGUGGGUGAUGAAGGUUUUCGGAUCGUAAAGCCCUUUUCUGCAUGACGAGCACAGGACGGUAGUGCAGGAAUAAGUGUCGGCUAACUACGUGCCAGCAGCCGCGGUAAAACGUAGGACACAAGCGUUAUCCGGAAUUACUGGGCGUAAAGGGCGUGCAGGCGGUUGCGUAAGUUAGGCGUGAAAGACUUCGGCUAAACCGGGGGAGGUCGUCUGAUACUGCGCAACUAGAGUAUGGUAGAGGCGUGUAGAAUUCCGGGUGUAGUGGUGAAAUGCGUAGAGAUCCGGAGGAAUACCAGUGGCGAAGGCGGCACGCUGGGCCAUAACUGACGCUAAGACGCGAAAGCAUGGGUAGCGAACGGGAUUAGAUACCCAUGUAGUCCCUGAGCGGGCUGGCAAGGCGCAU